rnacentral:rRNA from 1 species
GCGGUAAUACCAGCUCCCCGAGUGGUUGGGACGAUUAUUGGGUCUAAAGCGUCCGUAGCCGGCUAGAGAAGUUCUCCGUUAAAUCCAACGAUUCAAUCGUUGGGCUGCGGGGAGUACUCUCCAGCUUGGGGGCGGGGGAUGUCGACGGUAGUCCCGGGGUAGGGGCGAAAUCCUAUAAUCCCGG